UAAGAGGUCUAGCCUGCCCAGUGACCCAGUUCAACGGCCGCGGUAUCCUGACCGUGCGAAGGUAGCGUAAUCACUUGUUCUUUAAAUGAGGACUAGUAUGAAUGGCAUCACGAGGGUUAUACUGUCUCCUUUUUCUAAUCAGUGAAACUAUUCUCCCCGUGAAGAAACGAGGAUGUACCUAUAAGACGAGAAGACCCUAUGGAGCUUUAAAUUUUAUUCCAACUGCUUUUUCUUGUACUACGGUCCUGACCCAUUAUUUUAAACCAAGCAUUGUGGCAAUAAAUUUUAGGUUGGGGUGACCGCGGAGCACAAAAAAACCUCCACAUUGAACCAGGCCUACAAGCCUUGUACAAAGAACUACAAUUCUAAGCACUAAUAUAUUAACAUUAAUUGACCCAAUAUUUUUGAUCAACGAACCAAGUUACCCUAGGGAUAACAGCGCAAUCUACUUUGAGAGCUCCUAUCGACAAGUGGGUUUACGACCUCGAUGUUGGAUCAGGGUAUCCCAGUGGUGUAGCCGCUACUAAAGGUUCGUUUGUUCAACGAUUAAAACCCU
rnacentral:rRNA from 1 species